UCAAGCGCGUAAGAGCAUUUGGUGGAUGCCUUGGCAUAAAGAGGCGAUGAAGGACGUGACAGACUGCGAUAAGCUCGGACUUGCUGUCAAUAAGCUUAAUCCGAGAUCUCCGAAUGGGGAAACCCAAUAACUUAUAAGUGAAUUCAUAGCUUAUAAGGGCGAACCUAGGGAACUGAAACAUCUAAGUACCUAGAGGAAAAGAUAUUCCGUUAGUAGUGGCGAGCGAAAGCGGAUCAGGCCAGUGCUACUUUUUACUAAACCAGAACUGUAUGGAAAGGCAGGCCAUAGUGAGUGAUAGCCUCGUAUGGGUAGAUAGUAAAAAAUAGACAUGAGUAGGGCGGGACACGUGAAAUCCUGUCUGAAUAUAGGAAGACCACUUCCUAAGCCUAAAUACUACUUUAUGACCGAUAGUGAACCAGUACCGUGAGGGAAAGGCGAAAAGAACCCCGGGCAGGGGAGUGAAAUAGACCCUGAAACCGGAUGCUUACAAGCAGUUGGAGCCUCUUUAUGAGGUGACAGCGUACCUUUUGUAUAAUGGGUCAGCGACUUAAUCUCAUUAGCAAGCUUAAGCCACAUAGGUGUAGGCGAAGCGAAAGCGAGUCUGAAUAGGGCGAUUUAGUUAAUGGGAUUAGACUCGAAACCGAGUGAUCUAGUCAUGAGCAGGUUGAAAGUGAAGUAAAAUUCACCGGAGGACCGAACCCACUAGCGUUGAAAAGCUACGGGAUGACUUGUGAUUAGGGGUGAAAGGCCAACCAAACUCGGAAAUAGCUAGUUCUCCGCGAAAACUAUUUAGGUAGUGCGUCGUGUGAAUCUUGUCGGGGGUAGAGCACUGAAUGGGCUAGGGGGAAGCAAUUCCUACCAAACCUAAUCAAACUCCGAAUACCGAUAAGUCUGCACGGCAGACAGUCCAUGGGUGCUAAGGUCCUUGGACGAGAGGGAAACAGCCCAGAUCAACAGCUAAGGUCCCCAAAUAAUGAUUAAGUGUGAAAGGGAGUGGGAACUCCAAGACAGCCAGGAGGUUGGCUUAGAAGCAGCCAUCCUUUAAAGAAAGCGUAACAGCUCACUGGUCUAAUUAAGAGAUCCUGCACCGAAAAUGUAACGGGGCUCAAAUCAUUUACCGAAGCUUUGACAAUUACUUUGUAAUUGGGUAGCGGAGCGUUCUGUAAGCCUGUAAAGGUGAUGCGUAAGCAUUGCUGGAGGUAUCAGAAGUGCGAAUGCUGACAUGAGUAACGAUAAGAAAUGUGAAAGACAUUUCCGCCGAAAUCCUAAGGUUUCCUGCGUAAAGCUAAUCUGCGCAGGGUUAGUCGGCCCCUAAGGCGAGGGCGAAAGCCGUAGUCGAUGGAAAGCAGGUUAAUAUUCCUGCACCAGCUGGUAGUGACGGAUGAAGUAAAUUGUAAGUUCUUACUGGAUUGAGCUUGCAGUGAAUUUGUCCCUGGAAAUAGCUCCAGCAUUAGACCGUACCAAAACCGACACAGGUAGGAGGGUAGAGAAUACCAAGGCGCUUGAGAGAACUAUGUUGAAGGAACUCGGCAAAUUACACUUGUAACUUCGGGAUAAAAGUGACCUGCUAUUGGGCAACCAGUAGGAGGUGGCACAGAAGAGGGGGUAGCGACUGUUUACUAAAAACAUAGCACUAUGCAAAGUCGAAAGACGACGUAUAUGGUGUGACGCCUGCCCGGUGCCGGAAGGUUAAUAGGAGGGGUGCAAGCCCUGAAUUGAAGCCCCGGUGAACGGCGGCCGUAACUAUAACGGUCCUAAGGUAGCGAAAUUCCUUGUCGGGUAAGUUCCGACCUGCACGAAUGGCGUAACGAUUUCCCCACUGUCUCCAACAUAGACUCAGUGAAAUUGAAUUCUCGGUUAAGAUGCCGAGUAACCGUGGUUAGACGGAAAGACCCCGUGCACCUUUACUGCAGCUUUGUAUUGGUAUUAGGGAACAGAUGUGUAGCAUAGGUGGGAGACUUUGAAGGAGUGGCGCUAGCCAUUCUGGAGUCACUAGUGAAAUACCACUCUUCUGUUCCUUGAUGCCUAACCAUACACCGU
rnacentral:rRNA from 1 species